UAUCAAGCUUCUGGUUUGGGGGCUGCAUUAGACCCUCUCUUUCCUACUAUUCCUACUUGUAUAUAAGUCAACCUUUCUGUCUGUAUUACAGGGACGCCACCAUCGUAAAGGCGUGGUAGCGGUGAAGAUCGCCAACAUCAGCCGAAUAUAUACUAUACACUAUAUAUCAAUCCUAUUUGUGUAGUUGCCUAUGUGAGCUAAAGCAGUUCGGCGGCCACAAGAACAUCGCCUCUUACUAUGGAGCCUACUACAGGGCUCCACUCACGGAGUGCUCAUGGGAGCUCUUGGAAAUUGUUCUCGAGUACUGUGGUGGAGGCUCUCUCUGCAACCUCAUCAGCAAGACCAAUGACCAAUCCCUGAAGGAGACCUGGAUUGGCUAUGUCUGCAAGGUUUUAAAGGGGCUGCACCACAUCCACAAGAACUGGGCCAUUCAUAGAGACAUCAAGAGCCUGAACAUCAUGCUCACAGAGACGUGAAGAUCAGGG